CCUAAGAGGGGCCUUUUCUGUUCUUCCUCCCUCGGCUUUUGAGCCGAGUUCCUGGUGUACUCCCGGGGGCGUACCUACCACGUUCUCUUCUCUGCCCAGGACGACACGAAGGGUCAGGUCCACUUGAUUCUGUGACUUCAGGGGCAUCUUGCCAGUCCCCGUGUUAUUCAAUAAACAUCCUCACACUUGAAGAGAGAGCUUAAAGCUUGAAAGGUACGGGAUAUAUUACUACAGCAAAAUCUAACCUCUUUGAAAGUAUGUUUUUCCAUUACCAAGAAAAACAUAAAGUGAGAAUAUAUAGAUUUAAACUAACUUGUCAUUUCAGAAAAAGUUUGCAUCUGUGCCAAGAGAAGCAUUAAAUUGCCUUAAAUUUGACUUUCUAUUUUCUUAUCCAGAGAGAUGUCAUUGAGAUUCAUUGGUCCCUGAAUCAAUUUCUGUGUUUCUUUACUUCACAUUUCCCCACUGCAUCCUCUAGAAUGGAGAUGGGAAGAG